rnacentral:tRNA from 1 species
CGCUGUAAAGCUAAUAA